CCAAAUCGGAUGAAGCACUGAAAACAAAGCACUUUCACAUCCUUCACCCUGAUCUGUAGCAUAUUCUUCAGAACUCUUAUGAUUUCAAGUGACAGAAACCCAAUCUGAACCAGCUGAAACACUCAGAGGCAUUUAGUAUCUCAUGGAACCCAGUGCCCCAGGGACAGGCGGAAACGCUGACUUGAACAUCUCUUUCUGAGUUUCUCAUCUCAGCGCCUCUCUGCAGAUGUUGAAAUCUUCUUUUUUUCUGCUAACUGGCCUCUGCUUCCCAGGUUCACAGCAAGAAACAUGGCCAUUGGGAUGUCCCAAGCUUUGCAUUUUAUAGCCCAGCUUAGGUCAGGUGGCCACCCCUGUGCCAGUCAACUUGACCGAAUGGAUGGAAAACCUCAACUGAUCAAGCUGGAGUUAAGUGCAUGCAGGGAGCACCUAUGGUAACUGCGGAUGGCAGGGAGGGCAGCCACCUAGAAAAAGGUACUGCUGGCCAGGUAAGACCACAGGUAUCCACAACUACCACCAAUCUGCUGUGAACAGUUCCUCUGAAGUUGUGCAAUAAGCAAGCCGUGUGAUGCUGGUCUUGGUAGAAUAUCUUAUUUCUAAACUCCAAACCAUCAGAUUGGCCUCUACCUCCCCAUUUGCCCUCCUCAGAAGAUCUUGACACCCAAGUUCACCCCAUCCUCUGGAGUCCUGUGGUUUGAAAUACUGACCAUUUGUCCCAAUCCUGGAGCCAAGGUCCCAGCAUGCUCUGUGUCCAAGUUCAGAUUACCACAAAAGCUGGUUGUGAAGACCACAAGUUGUUACCUAUUUGUUUUUUAACCAGUUGUAUAUACAACAUUUGGUGCUUUUCACAACACCACACUACCUCUGUCUUACUGUACUGUUUCUCUCCCUAGCAAGCUACCAACAUUUCCUCUCUCCUCCCUAAAACAUGAAAAAAGGAGAGAGAGAGAGAGAGAGAGACGCAGGUAAUGCCUAUACUCUCAUCUCCUAAGGGGUCCUUGAGACAAUGGAUUCCAAAGAGCAGUUUGGAACAUGAAGAAAACCCCAAUGGGGAGGCCCUGCUCCCAAGUCUCACUAAUUCUGGAUUUAAUUCUCCCCUGUGGGCCAGGUGGUGAAUUAGUGGCCCUCCCACCCUACCUUCUGUUUUCUAUGAUCUCGUCUCAUCUAAUAAAGGCUCCAGAUCUGAAAGUCUCUGAGACCAGAACCUUAGUCCAAUUAAACCCUGCUAAAGCAAACAAACUUGGGAAAGACAAAGAGGUGAAGAGGUUAACAGCAGACAAAACCUCCACUGACAAGCUAAAUUAGCCUUGCCCACCUCAGGAGAAGGUGUAAGGUGGACAGCGGAGACUGCUGGUAGUGAUUAACAUUUGCUCGAAAUUCUAAGGAGCUAAUUUUUUUUCCAAGUUAAAUGUUAACCUGUGAAAAGAGGAACAGUAACUAUGCGAAGAGGAAUGUGAAGAAGAAAACAGAAAGACCAGCCUGCUGGGUGGAUGUCUUCCUCCCAAAGUAGUCGAGACCAGGGAUUCUGAGGAAUAGUUUUCCAUUUAUCCUUCAUCAUCUCCAUUCAACAGGGCCGCUGAGCUCCAGAUGAGCAUGGAAAGAUGGAGGAGCUGCCAAACCUGACUUUGGAGGCCCUGGUCAGGAGCCCGUUGGAGGCCUUCCAGUUUUACACCCUUUGUGAAUUUGUCCGUGGGGUGGGUUUGUUCUGAUGCCAUGAGUAGCUUCCACUGGAAAAGGCACCAUCUCCACCCAACAUUUUAGGGCCACUGAGCUCCAGGAUGAGCAUGGAAGGAUGGAGGAGCUGCCAAGCUUGACCUUGG
rnacentral:lncRNA from 1 species